rnacentral:rRNA from 1 species
UACGUAGGGGGCAAGCGUUGUCCGGAAUUAUUGGGCGUAAAGAGCGUGUAGGCGGCCAGAUAAGUCCGCUGUGAAAUCUCGAGGCUCAACUUCGAGCUGUCGGUGGAAACUAGCUGGCUAGAGUCCGGAAGAGGAGAAUGGAAUUCCUGGUGUAGCGGUGAAAUGCGCAGAUAUCAGGAAGAACACCCGUGGCGAAGGCGGUUCUCUGGGACGGUACUGACGCUGAGACGCGAAAGCGUGGGGAGCGAACAGG